GUGUGUGUGUGUGUGUGUGUGUGUGUGUGUGUGUGUGUGUGUGUGCUGAGUCACUUUGCUCUACAGCGGAAAUUGGUACAAUUGUAAAUCUUUAACAAAAAUAAAAUAAAAUAAAAUAUGCUUUAAUAAAAAUAAAAAAAUUGAAUUAAAUGGCCAGCAAUGAGGGAAAUAGCCCACUGCUAUCAUAUGCUCAAAAUUACAUUAAUCAUACCCUUCUUAAAAAGCCUAAAAAUCAAAGUUAAAUAAAAUGUUACAUCAAAAUCAAGAUUCAUUAUGGGAAAAGGAGAAAUUAUCCUUACAAGGGAGAAAUCUAGGAAACAUUUGUGACUCCAUGGGUUUUUUUUGCAUAGAGUUAGACAUGGUAAGUAGGACUGGAAAGGGAAUGAAGUAUUGUGGGCCCCAAAUAAAUCAGUUUCUUCCUUGUGAUGACAAAUUCUAGCACCCCUCUCAUAUUCACAAGAACAUACUUAAUACCAACAGGAUGGAGGGAUCUUGAGUGGUCUUCGAGUGCUGAGUUAAAACAAAGGUUAAAGCUUCAUUUAAGGAACAUUUGAUUAGCAUUACUUUUUAAGGAGCUCAAAAUUGACCAUUCUUCCAUGCUGAAGUUGUACUUUCCAUCACUUUUUUUUAAAUGUGAUCUUCUGGAGAUCUAAAUGUACUGUAAGGUUAAAAAUGGUCUUCUUUUUUUAAGAACUUUUUUUUUCUUUUUUGGACUGCAGUAUUCCUUUCUGUUUUGUCCUCCAUAUGUCCUCAUAAAUAUAAUUCUGGCACUGGAAUCCAGACAGCACUUCCCAGCACUUGCAUAGUCAGCAUUAAGCCACUAAGAUAUGAGAUCAUUUUAGCUCUGUGCCAUUUAAUCAUUUUAUAGUCUUUUAAAGAGUGAGUACUAAGUACCUACUACGUGUGAAGCACUGUUCUAAGAGUUCAAAGCUGUAGAGGAGAUACAAGUCUUGUAUCAGAAGCAUUGGGAGCAUGACUGAGCAAAUUGAAUGGUGCCCUCAAAUUAGAGCUAAAGACAGUGAAUUGAUGAGAAUUUUCUUUCAUGGUUGAGAAAGACUUUAGGAUAGAAUACUUGAACUAGGACUUAGAGUAGACAGAGGUUUGAUUUGGACUGAUCAGAGAGUCAACAUUUCAAAAAGAAAACAGAAGGAAAAAUUCAAAAAGUUGUGUUGAGUAAGAUAUUCAGGAAAGAAUGAAAAGAGACAAAUCUAGAAGAAAUUGACAAUCCCUGCCACAGAAUCAUGAAUGCUCAAUUUAGAAAAAUCUGAACCAGAUCACAAAGGGCCUGGAAUGCUCUAUUUAAGAAAUAUGAAUUCUUUUCUAAAGGAGUAGGGAGUCACAGAAGUUAUGGAAUGUGUGUGUGUGUGUGUGUGUGUGUGUGUGUGUGUGUGUGUGUGUGUGUGUGUGUGUGUGUAGAGAGAGAGAGAGAGAAUAAAAUGAUGAAAGGUACAUCUCCAGAAGAUCCUUGUGUGUGAAAAGACUUCAGCCAGGAGAGAGUCAAGAUUAGAGAAUAUUUUCCUAGAACUAUUGUGUCAAGGAAAGGAUUUGACUCUGGAGGUGACAAAGAGAUUAUUGAGGAAGAGAAGGAUCAGAGAGAACCAAGAAAGAAUGAAUUAAUGAAUCAGGCUUAAAUUGUUAGCCAUAUGAAUUAGUUACUCUUUUUGCCAUUAGUAAAAAGACACGCAAAUGAGUGCCAAUGGGCUAAUCAGUUGUUCUCAGCCCCAGCUUCACAUUAGAAGCAUAUGCAGAGGUUUUGGAGUUCUUGUUGUGGCUCAGUGGGUUAAAAACCCUACAUAGUGUCUGCAAGGUUGUGGGUUCAAUCCCUGGCCUUGCUCAGAGGGUUAAGGAUCUGGUAGGUCACAGAUGCAGCUCAGAUCCAGUGUUGCUGUGACUGUGGCAUCGGCCUCAGCUGCAGCUACAAUUCGACCCCCAGCCUGGGAACUUCCAUAUGCCAUAGGUGCCAUAAAAAGGAAAAAAAAAAAGUUACAUGCAGAGUUUUUAAAAAUACUAAUGUUGGACCCCAUCCACAUAAUUUGUCAUGGUUGAGGCCUGGGCCUUGAUAUUUUUUAAAAGAAAACAGUGUCAAGGGUUAAGAAUACAGGGUAAAUAAUGGUGGCUCAGUUUCUAGGAAAAUGUUCUGUCUAUUCCAGGGUAUUUUUUAUCAGUAUUUUCAAGAGGGAGGAAGGAAGGCAGGGACAAAAUAAAAGAAGUGUUCUGUUUCUGUCAUGGUUGGUGGAGUUUAGGAACCUGAUAGCUUUUUCCCUAUUGUGAAGCAUGUUACUCAGCUCCAAGCCUCCAUCCCGACUUUAAAAAAUACAAUCGAACUCUAGCAAUGUGUUAUUAUUUUUCAAAGAAAUUUGAACAUAACCCACUAGUCACCUCUACCUUCUAAAAUUACAAAACAUCUUUUCACUUUCAGGAUUGUUCAUUCUUUGUUAAAAAAAAAAAAAAAAGAUCAUUUAUUUAGAGAGUGGGAAAAAAAACUGUAAAAUUGUAGUAAUCAGAUACGUUAAACAUUUAUAACAUUGAGCAUCAGUCUAAAAUGUGAGAUUUUUCCUUUUUUUUCUUCCCUUGAAGAGAAAUCAUCUUGUGCUUUAUAUGGAUAAACAUCAGGAAGUGAUAGACUAUUCAUGGCUGUUUCCCUGCAUAAAUGCUUUAUUCUUCAAGAAAAAUAUUUCUAAUCAAGAGCUUUAUCCCCAUCACUCACCACCCCCAAUCUGUUCACACUGGGAGGUCAGCACCUUAUGUUUAUGACAUUGUAAUUUAUUGCUGUUGGAAGGAAUGAGUAUUUGUAUAGGAUUUCCACCAUAAUUCAGUUUUGUUGCAAAGUCUUACCAAGUACAACUUCUUAAGAAUACUUUCUAAAGAAUACUUGGUAAAAUUCAAAAAUGGCCAAAUAUAUUUGGACACAGCAAAUGGGUAUAAAUAUAAAUAGUGUGGAGACAGAUUUAAUGUAAAAGAAGGUGUGCGUAUAUAAGCAUAGAUAUGCAAAUGAAGGCUAUAUGUAGGUCUCAGGCAUGUGUUUCUUUUUUUUUUUUUUUUUUUCUUCAGCAAAGGACAGUUACAUUUGAGAUGAUUUAACGAGUUAGAACUAUAUAUGUUACAGGAGUUAGAUGUGUGUGAAGACUUUUUUUAAAAAAUUAAAAGACAUAUUUUAGAUCUCAAAUUCUGAUUUUUCAAAACAUGAUGAAAAUUUUAAAAGAUUUUUGUCCUUUUGCCUUGUGUAUUGAAAACAAGCGUUUAGGGAAGACAAUGAAAUGUAGAGGUAGCCUCUGAAGCAUCAUUCUGUAAAAGACUCGGAAGGUUCCAGUCAAAAGCACACCUUGGAGGGAACUCAGGAAAGGGCACUUCCAUUUCCCUGAGAGCUGAGCAUUUAUGCAGGUGAUUGUCUUCCAAAUGAGUGCUCCCCUGCCAUUUACCAAUGAUCCAGUAGCUGUGAUACUAGAAUAAUUGAGUCCAAGAGCUUGAAGCAGUACCUCUGAGUGUCUAUGCCUCCAAACAGAUGGUAUCUCAAGAUCUCCUGUUAAGAAGACAGCCUAUCACCUGUCUCCGGGAAUCUAUAAGUAACCUUUACUUUCAAGGCUUCCUCUCAAACGUUUAAACAAACGCAGCCAACUUUUUCUUCUUUUCUGACCUCAGUGGAGCUAAAGCACAGCUGGCCUACAUUUUCCUAAUAAUAGCCCUUCAUAUUUUUGAAAAGAGUUAUAGUAUCCUUAUUCAGCCAUCUCUUUUCCAGAUAAAGUAAUGCAAACUCCUCUAGCCUUUUAUCAUGGGUCCUCUCCUUCAAUUUAUUGCUCUUUUCUUAGAUGCUGCCUGAUUUUUUGACAUCCUUUUUGAAGUACAACAGGCCAGAGUGAACGUAAACUGACAAGAUCACAGAAGAUGAAUCUGAGAAUGUGGUUGUCUGUACUUUGCAUCUGUAGUAAUAAUCAACUUUGGUAGGGUUCUUUAAUAUAACUUGUAUUUCUUACAUAGAUUAUUUAUGUAUUUUUCUUUAAUUAAAUCUUAGACAUGGCCCCCUGAGGCCAUUGUUUUUAUCUACCUUGUUUAGCUAAUGAAGAAACCAUGAGCAGUUAACCAAAUGCUCAAGAAAACUGAAAGCAACAGACUUAAGACUGGGACCAAGGACUUCUUUGCAUACUAACUAGUACAGCCAAAUCCCAGUCCACAGGUUCCAUAUCCACAGAUUCAACUACCUUCAGAUAAAAAAUAUUCAGGAAAAAAAAAAAUCCAGAGAGUUCCAAAAAGCAAAAUUUGAAUUCCAUGUAUUUACAUGUAUUUACAUAGCAUUUACAUUUUGGCAGGUAUUAUAAGUAAUCUGGAGAUGAUUUAAAGUAUACAGGAGGAUAUGCAUAGGUUAUAUACAAAUACUACACCAUUUUAUUUAAGGGACUUAGGCAUCUGAGGAUUUCAGUAUCUUUAGGGAGUGGAGGGGGUCCUGGAAGCAAUCCCUUGUAAAUACUGACAACAACCGUCGUGUGUGAGUUUUAUAACAUCCUGUUGAUUAGAACAGCUCUCCACAGCCUGAGUUCACCACUGGAGCCCUUUGGCUUGGCAUUUUUCAUUUCUCUGCUUGAAUGGCUGUUCCCCUGGGAAGGACCUUUCUGAAUGCCCACAUCUUGCACACACAUUUGCACACAUGUACCAUAGAAGACUGCUUAGUCCCCCCUUUGAUGAGCUCCCCAUCAUCCUCCGCAUCUACACCAAAAACAUACAUUGUGUCAGGAAGAAGCAUCUCUUUUAAAGUAUUACUCCUCCUCACUCUAUAUUAUAAAAUCCCUAGAGAGAACACUGGCAGCCACAGAUUUCUGAACUUGCAAACUCGGUGGUACAGCAGAUCCACCCUGACAUACACUAAAAGUUGCUCUGGAAUGGAAGGCAAAGUUCAGCUGAUUUCAUUUUGGUGACAUCUUUAUUGCUUAUAUGAAUCUUGGGCCUUUAGGUUAUGCCAUGUUAAAGGUGGGUAACUUUAAUUUUUAAAAAGUUAUCUUAAUUCCUUUUCUUUCUUUCGCCAAGCUUUUAGUUUUUCACAAUAUAUAUUUCAAUCCUUUAUGAGAAUUUCUCUUUGCAACACCUUCAAGAACCAAAUGGAGAAUAUCUUUUCAGGAGUUCAUGUCAUGGCUCAGUGGUUAAUGAACCCAACCUGACUUGGACCCAUGAGGAUGUGGGUUCGACUCCUGGCCUCACUCAUCGGGUUAAGGAUUCAGUAUUACCAUAAGCUGUGGUGUAGGUAACAGACGCAACUUGCAUCUGGAGUUACUGCAACUGUGGUAUAGGCUGGCAGCUGUAGCUCCGAUUUGACCCCUAGCCUGGGACCCUCCACAUGCCAU
rnacentral:lncRNA from 1 species